AUAGGUAGUGGCGAACGGGUGCGUAACACGUGAGUAACCUGCCCCAUAGUUUGGAAUUCCACCGGGAAACCGAUGCUAAUACCAAAUAUGCUCGCACUAGCACAAGCUAGAGCAAGGAAAGAUUUAUCGCUUUGGGAGGGGCUCGCGGCCUAUCAGCUUGUUGGUGAGGUAACGGCUCACCAAGGCUUCGACGGGUAGCUGGUCUGAGAGGACGAUCAGCCACACUGGGACUGAGACACGGCCCAGACUCCUACGGGAGGCAGCAGUGGGGAAUAUUGCGCAAUGGGCGAAAGCCUGACGCAGCUCCGCCGCGUGGAGGAUGAAGGCUCUAGGGUCGUAAACUCCUUUCAGCAGGAAAGAAAAUGACGGUACCUGCAGAAGAAGCUCCGGCCAACUACGUG
rnacentral:rRNA from 1 species